rnacentral:lncRNA from 1 species
CUCAGGGGAAGGUCAGGGCUGGAGACGUGGCCCUCAACCCAGCCACACUACUAAAGCCAUGGGAUUAGCUAAAAUCAUCUAGGGGGCAUUAUAGCUAGGGAAGAAAAGAUGGUGUGGCACCAACCACCACUAAGAGAGAGGGACAAGGAGCAUCCAGUGGGAAAAGCCGGUGAGCGCAGUGUCGCAAAAGCCAAAGAAGGAGUUCCAGGAAGUGAGGGGAGGGCACUGUGACAGCCCUGCUGAGAGGACCUGAUGUGGCCUGUUGAGCAGGCAUUGUACUUCUGCUUUAAGCAUUUACUAUGUUCCAAGACAGGCACGAUACCCUCAAAUAAAGUGUCCAUCGGCAAGUUUUUAACCAGCAAGAAAUGUAUGAUGCUAUAUACAUGAGGAAUCUGUGUCCCUGUUCAGACACCGGUCGGAAAGUGCACGAUUUCACUUACUUUCCCAAGAACACCUUGAGUGAGG